rnacentral:rRNA from 1 species
GAGUUUGAUUAUGGCUCAGGACGAACGCUGGCGGCGUGCCUAAUACAUGCAAGUCGAACGAACGGAAGUUAGAACUUGUUCUAAUGGAAGUGAGUGGCGAACGGGUGAGUAACACGUGGGUAACCUACCUUUAAGCGGGGGAUAACAGUGGGAAACGACUGCUAAUACCGCAUAGGACAUAGCGUCACAUGACGCAGUGAGGAAAGACGGUUUCGGCUGUCACUUAGAGAUGGACCCGCGGUGCAUUAGCUAGUUGGUAAGGUAACGGCUUACCAAGGCGAUGAUGCAUAGCCGACCUGAGAGGCUGAUCGGCCACAUUGGGACUGAGACCUCGGCCCAAACUCCUACGGGAGGCAGCAGUAGGGAAUCUUCCGCAAUGGACGAAAGUCUGACGGCGCAACGCCGCGUGAGUGNNGAAGGUCUUCGGAUCGUAAAGCUCUGUUGUUAGAGAAGAAGAGUUAUGGGAGUA